UGCGUAGGUGGUAUGGCAAGUCAGAAGUGAAAACCCAGGGCUUAACCCUGGGACUGCUUUUGAAACUGGAAGUCUUGAGUAUGGCAGAGGUGAGUGGAACUGCGAGUGUAGAGGUGAAAUUCGUAGAUAUUCGCAAGAACACCAGUGGCGAAGGCGGCUCACUGGGCCAUUACUGACGCUGAGGCACGAAAGCGUGGGGAGCAAACA
rnacentral:rRNA from 1 species